rnacentral:tRNA from 1 species
GGGGUUGUGGCUCAGUGGCAGAGCACUUGCCUCGCACAUAUGAGGUACUGGGUUUGAUACUCAGCACCACA